UACGUAGGUGGCAAGCGUUGUCCGGAAUUAUUGGGCGUAAAGCGCGCGCAGGCGGUCCUUUUAAGUCUGAUGUGAAAGCCCACGGCUCAACCGUGGAGGGUCAUUGGAAACUGGGGGACUUGAGUACAGAAGAGAAGAGUGGAAUUCCACGUGUAGCGGUGAAAUGCGUAGAUAUCGGAAGGAACACCGGUGGCGAAAGCGGCGCGCUGGAUCCCUACUGACGCUGAGGCACGAAAGCCAGGGGAGCAAACGGG
rnacentral:rRNA from 1 species